rnacentral:rRNA from 1 species
CCUACGGGAGGCAGCAGUGAGGAAUAUUGGUCAAUGGACGGAAGUCUGAACCAGCCAUGCCGCGUGCAGGAAGACGGCUCUAUGAGUUGUAAACUGCUUUUGUACAAGGGUAAACCUGAAUACGUGUAUUCAGCUGAAAGUACUGUACGAAUAAGGAUCGGCUAACUCCGUGCCAGCAGCCGCGGUAAGACGGAGGAUCCAAGCGUUAUCCGGAUUUAUUGGGUUUAAAGGGUGCGUAGGGGGAUGGAUAAGUCAGUGGUGAAAUAUCCGGGCUUAACUCGGGAACUGCCUCUAAUACUGGUGGUCUUGAGGGUAGGUGCGGUAGGCGGAAUUUAUGGUGUAGCGGUGAAAUGCUUAGAGAUCAGACAGAACACCGAUUGCGAAGGCAGCUUACCAAUCUAUAUCUGACGUUGAGGCACGAAAGCGUGGGGAGCAAACAGGAUUAGAUACCCGAGUAGUC